UUAAUUGCGAUGAAGGAUACAAGAUACAUUUGAUUGUAAAAGAGAGUCGGUGGUUGGUGUGAACCGAUACAUGAGGUGUAUGUAUAGCUCGGUCCAGAGUAUUGCUACUGAAAUCUUAAGUAAGAUGCAACGUUGACCACGUUAUAGUCAGAGUAUUUGAUAAUACUCACUAAGGAUAUGUCUUAAUGUUGCGGCAUAUCGAAUUAGGGUGGUACCACGUAAGAGUUUAGACCUUUCGUCCCUGCA
rnacentral:ncRNA from 1 species